rnacentral:rRNA from 1 species
UACGUAGGUGGCGAGCGUUGUCCGGAUUUACUGGGCGUAAAGGGAGCGUAGGCGGACUUUUAAGUGAGAUGUGAAAUACCCGGGCUCAACUUGGGUGCUGCAUUUCAAACUGGAAGUCUAGAGUGCAGGAGAGGAGAAUGGAAUUCCUAGUGUAGCGGUGAAAUGCGUAGAGAUUAGGAAGAACACCAGUGGCGAAGGCGAUUCUCUGGACUGUAACUGACGCUGAGGCUCGAAAGCGUGGGGAGCAAACAGGAUUAGAUACCCGGGUAGU